AUCUUUGCGCUUGGGGCAAUGACGCAACUAGUGAGGUUCUAACCGAGGCGCGUCUAUUGCUGGUUGAAAACUAUUUCCAAACCCCCUCUUUGGCCUGGGUUCUGCUCUGGCCAUUGAGAAUUUUUGGAAGGGCUUCCCUUUGGAGUAAACCCUACAAUCCUGAGUC
rnacentral:snRNA from 1 species